AUUGAACGCUGGCGGCAGGCUUAACACAUGCAAGUCGAGCGGGGUGAUGGUGCUUGCUACUGAUCUUAGCGGCGGACGGGUGAGUAAUGCUUAGGAAUCUGCCUAUUAGUGGGGGACAACAUUUCGAAAGGAAUGCUAAUACCGCAUACGUCCUACGGGAGAAAGCAGGGGAUCUUCGGACCUUGCGCUAAUAGAUGAGCCUAAGUCGGAUUAGCUAGUUGGUGGGGUAAAGGCCUACCAAGUCGACGAUCUGUAGCGGGUCUGAGAGGAUGAUCCGCCACACUGGGACUGAGACACGGCCCAGACUCCUACGGGAGGCAGCAGUGGGGAAUAUUGGACAAUGGGCGGAAGCCUGAUCCAGCCAUGCCGCGUGUGUGAAGAAGGCCUUAUGGUUGUAAAGCACUUUAAGCGAGGAGGAGGCUACUUUAGUUAAUACCUAGAGAUAGUGGGCGUUACUCGCAGAAUAAGCACCGGCUAACUCUGUGCCAGCCGCCGCCGUAAAAC
rnacentral:rRNA from 1 species